CUCCGAAACAACAGAAAGCACUUGACAGGCUUGCUCUCCAAUGGGAAGCCCCAGAAAGGUGUUGCGCGGAGGCGGACCUACGCGGUACGGACAUCUCUGCGCCUGCUCAAAGGCCCUGGACACUUGGAGACUAGAUGGGGAAGCUGACAUGAAGAGGAGUCCAAAGUGUCACAGUCAACCCAGAAUUGUUGCUUCUCAAGUCCCGAGUCCACCUCCUGGCACUGCUAAGAAGUCCACCUGGAGGUGACGAGAACUUACAGGCUUUGGUAAUGGACAACUCUGGAUGCCUGGAGCCUUCCUUCCUUUUGGCAUUACAGAACCGCAAGAAGUCAUCUAGAAUCAUCGAGAUUCUCAACUCCAUUGGCCAAGCUGGAACCAGCAAAAUCUCAGACAUCUAGAAUUGCCACUGCUUCCUUGACUCUGUGAUCAGUCUAGAGCCACAGAAUCCUGAUUCCCUUUGGACAUUCUAGAAUGGCACUUAAAAAAAACCCACCCCAUGGAUCCUUUCAAAGCAUUGCUUAUUCUCUUGGUUGGGUGCUCUACAGCCAGAAGUUGGAGUUACUAAUAUCAAGAACUCCUAAUCUGUUACUUUAGUCUUUCUAAACCCACAGACUCAACAAUGUUUUGUGCAUUCUA